CCCCCUGCGGGCCGGGCCGGGCCGGGCGGCGGCGGCGCGGGAGCAGCUGUCUGCGCCGCGGGAUUGCCUGCGACCUGCGUGGGGAGGCCUCCUGGACCCGCCUCACAGGGCCCCGCCUAAUCCGAGGAGACUGCACCGCGCGGCGCCUGGGCAGGGCUCGGGAUCCCACGACCGCGCCGUGAGGCCGGAAGGCCCGGAGGCCCGGAGGCCCCAGAGGCCUAGAGACCCAGGGGCUUAGAGACCCGCAGGCAUGGAGGCCCAGAGACCCGGAGGCACAGAGGCCAGGAGACCCAGAGGCUUAGAGACCCCGAGGCCGGGAGACCCAGAGACCCAGAGACCUACAGACCCGGAGGCACAGAGGCCCGGAGACCCCGAGGCUUAGAGACCUGCAGGCAUGGAGGCCCAUAGACCCGGAGGCCAGGAGACCCAGAGGCCUAGAGACCGGGAGACCCAGAGGCCCAGAGACCCGGAGGCCGGGAGACCCCGAGGCUUAGAGACCCGCAGGCAUGGAGGCCCAUAGACCCGGAGGCCAGGAGACCCAGAGGCCUAGAGACCGGGAGACCCAGAGGCCCAGAGACCCGGAGGCCGGGAGACCCCGAGGCUUAGAGACCCGCAGGCAUGGAGGCCCAAAGACCUGGAGGCCAGGAGACCCAGAGGCCUAGAGACCUGGAGGCACAGAGACCCGGCCUGGAGGCCCGGAGACCCAGGGGCUGGAAGGCACGGAGGCCAGGAAACCCAGAGGCCUAGAGACCCAGAGGCCUACAGACCCGGAGGCACAGAGACAGAGACCCAGAGGCCUAGAGACCCAGAGGCCAGGAGACCCAGAGGCCUACAGACCCAGAGGCACAGAGGCCUGGAGACUUGGACGCACAGAGACCCGGAGACCCAGAGGCAGGCCUAGAGACCCAAAGGCCGGGAGACCUAGAGGCCUAGAGGCCUAGAGACCCAAAGGCCGGGAGACCCAGAGGCCUAGAGACCCGGAGGCCAGGAGACCCAGAGGCUUAGAGACCCUCAAGCAUGGAGGCCCAGAGACCCGGAGACGGGGCGGGGACCCGGAGGCCGAAUGCCCAGAGACUCAGAGGCCUAGAGACUCGGAGGCACGGAGGCACGCGCAUGUCACCCGCGUGUCAAAAAGGCAUCAUGGUGUCUGGCUUAAAAAGCAGUAACUAAUUGUUCCGAUUUCUAGUAGCACGUUAAUUGUGGCGUUUAAUUUACUGUUUUCCUCAUUAGAGGUUUUUAGUUUUGAGGAAGCGAUGCUGCGUUUCAGUCACGCUGGGAUGAAAAUAGCCUAGCAAACUUAUUUUUGUUCCUAGUCGCCUUCAGCAUCCUUCGUGCCAGUUCUACAGUCAUUAAGUUUUACAACGUGUUAGGUUGGUGGCAGUUUAAACAGAUACACAGGAUUUUGGCAAUCUGUUCCAUUUUUAAAAUAAAGAUUAGUGCUUUUUCCUUUUUCCUUUUUUUUUCUUUUUUUCCCUAAGUACCUUAACUUUUGGACAUACCUUCUGCCUUCCUUUUUAACCAGAACUCUUCCCCCCCACACACCCCCACCCCCCGCGGUGAUGAGAAGAAAAGUAUGUGCUGGUCACCAGAGGAAAAGCAAAGAUCAUAAACCCUGCCAACAAAGCACAUGAGAAAGCUUUCCCGGUUUGGGAUGAUACAUUUGAAACAAAUAGCCAUUGUGUACUCAGGGUUAUGCAAAUUCUUGUCAGACUAGCUGUAACUUCUAUGAACCACCCUCAAAAAAGAAAAAAAAAUCAGAAUGCAAGUUCAUGAAAGUGAAGAUAUGGGGCAACAAAUAUUUUAUUUAUUCAUGAGAGACACACAGAGAGAGGCAGAGACAUAGGCAGAGGGAGAAGCAGACCCUCUGCAGAAAGCCUGAUGCAGGACUCCAGCCCAAGACCCGGGAUCACGCCCUGAAGGGAAUGCUCAACCACUGAGCCACCCAGGCAUCCUGAAUUAAACUUUUUCAUCAAAUGAAUUCACAGUGGAUUUCCAGUGUUCAGUUGAGAUAUAAAGGACCAUGUGGCAAGAAACCCAGGUGGCCUCUAAAAGCUGAAGACACUGGCUGACAGCCAGCAAAAGACCUCUGAAGCUCUUAUUCCUACAGCUGCAAGGAAAUGAAUUCUGUCAAAAAUCUGAGGGAGUCUGGAAGAAGAUUCUUCUUCACUUGAGCCUCCAGAUGGGAACACAGCCCAGCCAAUACAUUCAGUGUAGCCUGGAGGGACCCCAAAGUGGAAAUCCCAAAUAAGCUGUGCCUGGGCUCUUAACCCACAGAAACAGAUAUAAUAAAGGGUGUUAUUUUAGGCCACUAAAUUUAUGGGAUUGUUACACAUAAAUAGAAAAAUAUACAGAUUUUGGUACCUAGAAGUGGGGUGCUAUUGUAACAAAUACCUAAAAGUGUGUCUGUGGUUAGAAGCUGGAAGAAUGUUGAACAGUGUGAUAAAGCCUAAAUUGCCAUGACCAGAUUAUCAGUAGAAAUGUGGAACUGAGGACAUUACCAGAAGGAAGUGAGGAACAUGUUAUUGGAAACUAGAGGAAAGGGAAUCAUAGUGGCAGACAGCUUAGCCUUAGUGGCAGACAAAUUUGUCUCCUGCCGUUAUGUUGAAAGCAGAACUUGUAAGUGAUGAACUUACUAUAUAGUUAAGAUUCCCAAGCAAAGUGUUGAAGGUUACAACUGGCUUAUUCUUCCUACUUAUAGUAAAAUUCAAGAAAAGAGACAAUUUAAGGGAAGAACUGUUAAACAAAAAGGAAUCGGGACUUGAUGAUUUUGAAAAUCUUCAUCCUCCCUAGAUAGUAAAAAUACUAAUACUAGGAGAUGGGUCCUGAACACUGAAAAAAGCUUGCCCUAGAAAAAGUGCCCAGAGAGUAGUAACUCCACAACCAUUUUUUUAAAACCUUAAAUAGAUCGAAGGUCAAGGUGCUUAAUCACACAAAGGGCUAUUUCAGGAGAUUGAGGGUGUGCCUCAGAUCUUCUCAAUCAAACCAUUGGGCCUCUAAGAAGUUUAAAGGUGCUAUUCCUCAGCCCUAGGCUCUCAGCAGGAGCCAAAGAUAGAGAUGAGAUUAUUUUGAAACAAACUGUAGAUUGUGCGUCUUUGUCUAAAUGAGGAGUAACCCUCAUUGAAAUACUUGAAGACCCACCAAGUUCUUGAGGAAUUUAUUUCUGCAGAAACAGUGCCAGCUUGGAAUGAGAAAGAGUGUAAAACAAAAGGAAGCUGUCAGACAUCCCUCCCCCAUUUUAUUGGCAGGAAAUAGGCAGAUAAACCUGCUCAUCUGUGAACACAUGCUACCUUCCAUAAAAAAGGAAGGAUGACUCAGAGGGCUGAACCAAGAACCCAGGGGGCAGAGCCAAGGGCCUUGCAGGAUGAUCCCCAAGCUGAAGAACCUAAUUAAGGAACAUUCACCCAGUUGUAUUUCAGAAUGCUAUGGACUGAGCAACUUACCUUUCAUUUUACCUUUUUUUAACCUUAAUUUCCCCCAUUUGAGCUUGAAUGUCUCUAACUGUCAUACUGAAUCUGUACCACCAUCUGAACGUUGGGUAUAGUAGAGGCAGACAACUUGUUCCUUUAGUUUUUCAGGUCCAUAGGUGAAGAGUAAUUGUACCCAGGAACUAUUAUUUUCUGAGUCCACUCAAAACUGGCAGCCUUCCAAGCUACCCCAAGUGUUGUAUAUGAUGGUUCUCUGUGUCUUUUUCUUGGGUAGUAGGAUACUUCUCCCCUCAUUCUCCCUUCCAGUUUCCCACUAGUACCUUCUAGGCUGAACCUAACUAGAAGCCAGUUGGCAAACAGAUACUGGGAAAUAUGGUUCAACCUGGUCACGUCCUGUGAUUCAGAGUGUAGAGCAGGGAAGAGUCUGGGAAGGAUGGCUCUCAGAAAAAAUAGGUUAAUGACUACCACAGAGUCUGCACUUAAAAUGCUGUUUGUACCUAGAAAUCUGCUACAACUCAGCCCUAAUUUGAUCUGUUCUCUUAUGAAAGAUUAAACCCUCCUCCCCAUUUCUAUCCUGUUUUUGUCAGUAUCCUUUUACAUCUUAGGUCAGCAUUUGCUUUUUUCCUUUAUUGACUGUCUGAUUGAUAAGACCAUUGCCUACCAUCAAGACAAGUAAUUGGACCAUUUUUCCUUUUCAUUAUUGAAUUCCCCCAAUAGCAAUAAUAAAUUGCUCCACUUUAUAAUGUCAAAACUUCCUUUCCACAUUAACUAUAUUUUCCAUUUUCCUUGUCCUUCAUCUCUUUCACUAUGCUGUAGCCAUGUACAACUAGUUUGGGGAACUACAAACCAUUUAAUCUGGCAUACAGAUGCUCUUUCAUCAAAUUGAUGCAGUUUCCAAGGGCUACUCCAAUUUAUAUCAGGGAAACUCUUGCAUAUAAGAGACCAGAUUUGGGGCUGGUUAUGAAAAUCUCAUCCCUAAAGCCCUCUAAACAUUAUCUAAUCUCUUCUUGGAUCUCACCCCCACCAUCAAGAUCAUAAAACUGAAACUCCUCUUCAUUUUCUCUAUCUAUCCCGUAUUUCACCAUUUUCUACUCCUCUAAAUCAAAAUAAGCACCCCAGUUUCUUGAAGUCCACAUUCUCUACUUGCAUUCUAGUGAAUGAUACAGAUUAUGAGCUGACCACGUUGUGGAAGCCGAGAAAAAUUAAGGCCAUCCCACCUAAAGUUUAGCAUUAGCACAAGUACAGCCAUCUUAGGUCCCUGUGAAUAAGAGCUGAACUUUAAGGGAAAAA